rnacentral:rRNA from 1 species
UACGUAGGGCGCGAGCGUUGUCCGGAAUUAUUGGGCGUAAAGAGCUCGUAGGCGGCCUGUUGCGUCCGCUGUGAAAUCCCAGGGCUCAACCCUGGGCGUGCAGUGGAUACGGGCAGGCUGGAGGCAGGCAGGGGAGAACGGAAUUCCCGGUGUAGCGGUGAAAUGCGCAGGAUAUCGGGAGGAACACCUGUGGCGAAAGCGGCUCACUGGACCAUAACUGACGCUGAGGCACGAAAGCUAGGGGAGCAAACAGG